rnacentral:lncRNA from 1 species
CUUGAGACUUGAAUUCAAAACAAUGUUUCCUUUCUUACCUCUCUAGCUUGUUAAGCAUUAUGCCAUUUCCUUUUUUUCCCUUAUUUUGGUGCAAUUGCUCUUUAAGUCCCCCUCCCUUUUUCACCUACUAUCAUUACAUUAAAAUUCAUUCUCAUAAUCCAACAAAGCAUGUUUAAUCUCAUGUCAACUAAUCCCUAUUUAGCUUUAGACCAGUCAUCAUUCCGAUCGAGAAUCAUGAGAAAUGAAUUUGCAUUAAAACCUUAUAACACAGUAUUCAUUAUCUCUUCAGAAUAUAGGAUAAUCACAUUUGUCCCUUAAAGUUAAUCCAAUUUUAGCUCAAAGUAUGUUUUGGCGUACAAUUGGGAAAGCAAGUCAAUUGUCUACCAUAUUUGAGUUCUUGUGAACAAAUUGGCGUGUCUAGUUGGGAAAAGCUACUUGGAUUCCGUCAAGGGAGAUAAAGAUCGAAUUUAAACGACCCACACGGUUAAGGUUGUUAAUUCGAGUUGGGCUCUUCUAGAUCAUAAGGCUACUGAGAUCUUAAAUUACAGACGUGUAUUACGUGGUUAGAUGUAAGAGUUGGUUUGCAUGUCAUACCAGAACCAAUUACACAAAGAAGAGGUGGUGGUUGAGACGCUCUUGACUGCUAUAACCAGCUUAUCGUUUAGAAGGCAUUUAGAAGGAAAAUUUACUUUCAAGGAUCGAUUCGAGUUCGGAGUGUACCAAGGCUAAGGCUAAGAAUUUGUAUAUUUGAUUUAUCAAUUUAAUUUUAAUUAUUUAAUUUUAUUUUGCAAUUAUUGUGCUAUUACUAUUUUAUUCUAUUACUUUUUUUUAUCAACUAAAAUCCCAUUUCAUUUAUUUGUUCCAGUUCAGCACGCGACGAGUCGUGGGCACAACAAUUGCCACGACUUUGGAAUUUGGGCAUGUAAAAACGUUGUUAGGAGUCUUAGUCCCUUUGGGAUCGACCCUACUUCUCUAUAGUACUUUUAAUUCAAUUAGAGCGUAGAAAAUUUAUAUUUGGU